CCCUUUUAUCAAAAUACCCACUCUCUUUCUUGUUUGCCUCUCCCCAAAUUCCCUAUUUCUCUCUUGAACUCCAUGCCUUCUCUCUUUCUCUGUAUCUCUUCCUCUCGCAAAUCCAUGGAAGACCACAGCCAAGCCCGUGGGGGUGAGCAUGCGCGAAGCAAAGCACGAAGAGGCUUGCGAAGGCCUGACAUUGCUCACAGCGGAGGCGUGCGGUGGCUUGCAGAGAAGGCGGAGCUGGGUUGAUGAUGGGCGCAAGGUUGGGGCUGCAUCUCUCGGAGUGAGAAUGAGAGUGGUGAGUUUGAUUGUGUAGAUGUGAGUGAGAAAGGACCACCACACUAAAGAGAGUUAAAGGGAGAAUGGAGGAUGAGAUGAUUAGAGAUAUAAAUUUGGCUUAAACCCAACAGAGAGAAUGGAAAAGAUUAGAGAAGAUAAUGUCUCUCUGUCCCUCCCUUAUAGCGCAGAAAAGAAAGCUGAGAUUCCAUGAACCUGUUUGAUUUAAAGAAUACCAACCAGGAACUGAAAAGCAAUUUUGAAAGAUCUCUACAUUACCGCAGCUAUGUAUGUAUAGAACUAUUAUGCAUGAUGAAUCUUCUUGAGGUUCUAUUGUCUUAUAUAUAUUUUUAUGGGAAUGUUUCUAUUACGGAGGCACCUAAUGUUACAGCGAAGUAGAUUUCUCUUGAAACCGCAAGGCUGUCGUCAUCUAUGUUCCCUACUGAUUGAGGAAGGCUUUCUGCAAGAUUCAUUUGCGUUGUUGCUUUGUCUUUCUUUUCUCCGUUUGUAUUUGUGUUCUCUUUUUUUGUUUGAAUAAAAUGUAAAUCAAUUUUGUAUGAUGUGUUUGUGUACAUUUAUUUAAAAUGAAAGAAUGAGCCAAAUAUAUUUUGGAUUUGGUUUA